GAGAGGGACAGCAGCAGCGACAGGAGGAGGGAGCUCAAGCAGAGGGUGCGGGUCAUCGUGGCUGAGAGGAGGGGGCCUGCAGGAUGGUGGUCCCUCCCUGGCUGGUAAACCCGAACAGGAAGAGCAGACCCCCUAUUAGCGGGGCCAAAUCAGAGGGAUCUCCAAGGGCGACAGGGAGAGGAAAGAGCAAUGUAUUAAAAAAAUAACCAAAAGGAAAGGAGGGUGCUAAGUUUAAAAAUAUAACUAUCAUUGUUGUUUGCGACAUUUUUCUAUUAUAACUUGUGAUGCACUGGUGCAUAUCAGACUAAUUAAACUAGACUAGACAGGUGUUCCUGCCUGUGUGCCAAUACU